CUCUUCAUCUCCGAUAUUUGAGAUCGACGCACAAACUGAGUUCUAAAAGCGUUGAUUCGUCUUCACCAAAGUGGACAACGUAAUCUAGGGUUCAUCUUAUUCUUCGAUCCCUGAGCAUCUUCACCAACAAUGGAGUUUCUAUAGGAUGCGUGAGUUAGUCUUGAAGAAUCUCUGUAAGAAGCUUCGAUUGCGUCUUUACGCCUUCCUUUCUAAUCCUUCGAAACGUUAAUGGUUAUUAAUUCAUCGCUUUAACAAACAUCUGAAUACCAUCAACCCACGUCGAGCACGAUCUGAGAUUGAUUCAUCUUAUCCCGCUGCAAGUCGGUCUCUCUGCACCUAUAAAAGGUAAGCCAUCUUUCGUUGAACAUUAUCCUCUCAAUCCGUGAUAACACCAAAGUUAAUUUAUUCUGUGAAUGGCUAACUCAUCAAUCCUCUUCUUUAAUGGCUUCUCGAGCUGCGACACAAGAAGCUGCGAUGAACGGAGUCCUCAUCGGUUCGAAUCAGCCCUAAGGACGAGGAGUCGCGGAGAUCUCUGAUCUCGUACCUCUCAUUCCUCCUCUCGAUAUCUCUCGCUCAUCAUGAUAGAGGAGGAUUACGUGGCUAUGUGAGGAGAUGGAGUUGAGAUGAGGAUGCUAGCUCUUACUGCUUUAGAUGUUCUACGGUUCCUCAGAUUUUUCAAUCGAUACAGGUUUUUGUGUUUUGAGUGAACUUUUGACGCUGAGGAAGUGAGGAUAUGAAAGAGUUCAGUGUGUAGCAUGCAAGACAACAGAUGAGUUAUCGCAAUAAGCUGGCUAAACUUGAUGGAGUUCCAUACCGUGAUUUCACUGGAUAGGUCUAGGGUUUUUUUUUUGGAAAAUAAAAUAAUUUAGUUUGCAUCUUAUUGAGGGGUUAACAUGAUAAACUCAAGCAUCUUGCUUAGUUGUUGUUUGUCUUGCGCUGUGUGCUGUUCGCAGGAGAAGAUUUGCCUAUUCUCUACGGGUUUGAAUGUAAGGAUAAUGUUUGAGACCAACACACGAAACCCACCGGGUCUUAUAAA